rnacentral:rRNA from 1 species
AGAACGAACGCUGGCGGCAUGCCUAAUACAUGCAAGUCGAACGAACUCUUCGGAGUUAGUGGCGCACGGGUGCGUAACGCGUGGGAAUCUGCCCCUUGGUUCGGAAUAACAGUUGGAAACGACUGCUAAUACCGGAUGAUGACGAAAGUCCAAAGAUUUAUCGCCAAGGGAUGAGCCCGCGUAGGAUUAGCUAGUUGGUGAGGUAAGCUCACCAAGGCAACGAUCCUUAGCUGGUCUGAGAGGAUGAUCAGCCACACUGGGACUGAGACACGGCCCAGACUCCGUACGGGAGCAGCAGUAGGGAAUAUU